CAGGACGAACGCUGGCGGCGUGCUUAACACAUGCAAGUCGAGCGAUGAAGUCUCUCGGAGACGGAUUAGCGGCGGACGGGUGAGUAACACGUGGGUAACCUGCCUCAUAGAGGGGAAUAGCCUUCCGAAAGGAAGAUUAAUACCGCAUAAGAUUGUAGUUUCGCAUGAAACAGCAAUUAAAGGAGUAAUCCGCUAUGAGAUGGACCCGCGUCGCAUUAGCUAGUUGGUGAGGUAACGGCUCACCAAGGCGACGAUGCGUAGCCGACCUGAGAGGGUGAUCGGCCACAUUGGGACUGAGACACGGCCCAGACUCCUACGGGAGGCAGCAGUGGGGAAUAUUGCACAAUGGGGGAAACCCUGAUGCAGCCAACGCCGCGUGAGUGAUGACGGUCUUCGGAUUGUAAAGCUCUGUCUUCAGGGACGAUAAUGACGGUACCUGAGGAGGAAGCCACGGCUAACUACGUGCCAGCCGCCGC
rnacentral:rRNA from 1 species